UUAUUCCCGGAAACUGCAUUGAAUACUAUCAUGCUCGAGGGUUGGAGGGGGGACUGGAAUUCUCGGUGUAGCAGUGAAAUGCGUAGAUAUCGAGAGGAACACCAGUGGCGAAGGCGAGUCCCUGGACAACUCCUGACACUGAGGCACGAAAGCUAGGGGAGCAAACAGGAUUAGAUACCCUGGUAGUCCUAGCCGUAAACGGUGCAUAUUUGCUGUAAAAGGAAUCGACCCCUUUUGUGGCGUAGCCAACGCGUUAAAUAUGCCGCCUGGGAAGUACGGUCGCAAGAUUAAAACUCAAAGGAAUUGAUCGGGGGCCCGCACAAG
rnacentral:rRNA from 1 species